ACAGAGGCGCGGAGUACAUCAGUACCCGAUUCCGCAAGCCCCGCCAAGGGCAUGGAACGGCGAAAGGGUUCUCCGCCGAAGGCGAUGCGCGGCACGCAUCGGCCUGGGCUCGCAGCCGAACAGGUGCGAGACUGUCACGCCCCGAACAGGCGUGUUGCGC
rnacentral:ncRNA from 1 species